CGAACGCUGACGGCGUGCCUAAUACAUGCAAGUAGAACGCUGAAGGAAGAGCUUGCUCUUCUGGAUGAGUUGCGAACGGGUGAGUAACGCGUAGGUAACCUGCCUGGUAGCGGGGGAUAACUAUUGGAAACGAUAGCUAAUACCGCAUAACAUUGACUAUUGCGUGAUAGUCAAUUGAAAGGUGCAAAUGCACCACUACCAGAUGGACCUGCGUUGUAUUAGCUAGUUGGUGGGGUAACGGCUCACCAAGGCGACGAUACAUAGCCGACCUGAGAGGGUGAUCGGCCACACUGGGACUGAGACACGGCCCAGACUCCUACGGGAGGCAGCAGUAGGGAAUCUUCGGCAAUGGACGGAAGUCUGACCGAGCAACGCCGCGUGAGUGAAGAAGGUUUUCGGAUCGUAAAGCUCUGUUGUAAGAGAAGAACGAGUGUGAGAGUGGAAAGUUCACACUGUGACGGUAUCUUCCAGAAAGG
rnacentral:rRNA from 1 species